CUCACGUCAGCAGGAGAUAGACUGAACUGGGAGCAAUACAGAGAUUAGUACAGCCAAUGUACAAGGAUGACAUGCACAUUCAUAAAGUUUUCCAUAUGUUU
ensembl:snRNA U6 U6 spliceosomal RNA